CUCGGCAACGGAUAUCUCGGCUCUCGCAUCGAUGAAGAACGUAGCGAAAUGCGAUACUUGGUGUGAAUUGCAGAAUCCCGUGAACCAUCGAGUCUUUGAACGCAAGUUCCGCCCGAAGCCAUUAGGCUGAGGGCACGUCUGCCUGGGCGUCACGC
rnacentral:rRNA from 1 species